AAGUCGUAACAAGGUUUCCGUAGGUGAAGGAAUUGUAGUGAUUCAGAGACCUCUGGCUACGUGCGAACAUUGGAACAGUUACAAUCGAGCGGUAGUUCUAUAGGCAAUGUUUCCCCAAGCAGUCAGUGUCGGAAAGUGUCAUUGAUUGUGCAAGGAUAGCGCUUCUACGAUUCCUGUAGACCGUACACUCGGGCAGGAGCUUUGCCAAAGGGUCCCCAUGCCCCCUAAUAACCCCACAGUUUAAUGUGAAGCUCAAUGUAAUACAUUGGGUAAAAAAACCGAACAACUGUUAACAAUGGAUAUCUUGGUUCUC
rnacentral:misc_RNA from 1 species